AAGUCGUAACAAGGUUUCCGUAGGUGAACCUGCGGAAGGAUCAUUCUUGUAUUAUCUAGUAGUUUAUUGCUCAGGCAAUUUACUUUCUACUAUGUGAACAGUGGUGUAUUUACUUGAUUGCAACAAUGCAAAUAUUUUUUGUGUUGAUUGUGAUUGGGAAAAAUUCAAAACAAAUUUAACAUGAAUACUAUUAUAUAUUUACAAUUGUCUUAACAUAACAACAACAACAAUUAAAAAUACAACUUUUAGCAACGGAUCUCUAGGCUCUC
rnacentral:misc_RNA from 1 species